GGAGAGAACACGACAACGAGCAGAGAGACGUCCCCAAACGCUGGGAAAAGGGCCGCCGCCACGCCGCCAGCUGCACCCACGAACGCCGGACAAACACGCGCCCGUCAACGCACAUGCUCAGCAUACGCCCCCAGCCCCAAGCGUGUCUCUGCGUGUGCGUCGGUGAAGGGGUGGCUGCUUGCAAACCAUGCUCAUCAGCUCGCCUCAUUUCUCUGCCGCACAACGUGAGGUCCAACGCCGCUCCACCCCCGACCCUGUCGCAGGCCGCAUCCGCGUGGUGCGAAGCACCGGUAGACACGCGUUGCAGCAGUGCGCCGACCCGGUCGCCCGAGGAGGGCCCGUGCCCUCAAGCGCCGCCCACCCACCCCGCGCACCGUAGGGUGGCUCUCAGGCGCCCCACACCAGCAGGCGGUGCGAGGGCCGGGUGUGGCAUACGCUCGAGUCGCGCGGACACUUUUUGCCUAUCCGAUGAGAACCACAAACGCGUUCACUGCCGCCGCUCGCCCCGGCGCCACGCCGUCCAGGACCCGCCCGCCGACAUCCGCAGCGACGACUCGCUCUCACUCGCCCACGUCGUAGGCGCUUGGCACGCGCACCGCCAGAAGUGGCUCGGCAUUCGGCCGGGAUGGGGGCGGGGAGAGGGGGCUGCUCGGCGUCCACCCAGACCGAGCUGGACACACCGGACCCGGAGAUGCCACGCGCGGAGGUGUGUGUGCGUAUGUGUGCGCCGCCCUCGACAUGAGGGGUGUGCAAACCAUGAGAGAACCAACAACGGAAAACGCGAAAGGAGAAGCACGACUCACGCACGCAUAUGCAGACAGACAGACACACGGAGACACAAGCACGUGCAGACAUGUAUGAGCACGUCUCACUGCCCACGUCACGUGCCGCGUCAUGAAGUGGCCUUCUGAGCCUGUGCGCACGCCUGCACACCCGCGUGAGUGUCUCUACCGACGGCUUGCCCACAUCGCAUGCGAGACGGAGGCUUUGAUUGAGAGGUGGCAUAGGGCUUACACGCUGAACAGAGAGGGAGGCACCCCAUCAACUCCGGCGAGCCACUGCACGGGGGCAAGUGCCAACACUUGCAGAAGACGCUGAACCUGACGGCCCCAGUGGAUCUCGUCAAGACCCAGCAGCCAGAGGGGUUGGUUGCCAGCCUUGCACUCAGAGACUUGCUGAUCAAUGAUGAUGUGUACAGAUCAAGAUAACGGGGAGAAGGCCAGUGAGUGUGUGCGCGUAGCGUGCUCCAGGUCAUGACAAUGUCAGUGGUGCUUGCAGGGCGUUGUCUG
rnacentral:misc_RNA from 1 species